rnacentral:misc_RNA from 1 species
UUUAAAUCUGAAUUAUGAAAUGACAGAAAUGUUGAGGCCUACAAAGCUAAGCACUGCGGACAAACUUUUACAAUUUUAAAAGGCAAGCACCCAAUCCAACGUCGCCCUUCACUAUUCCAGUUUCCAACCUAUCACAUCCGUUUCCCAAUCCCCACUAUCGUCUAUAGAAAGCUCCUGCCCUGAAUCAACCCUAUCAAAAUGUAGUAUUUUGAAA